UGAAUACGAGAUGCUACGGCGUCGAAGCAGUCUAUGUCAUACUUCCAAGAAAAGCUCGCACUGUCAUAAACAAAUAAUGCCUGUACCAUAACCGACACAGGUGGGUAGGUAGAGUAUACUAAGGGGCGCGAGAUAACUCUCUCUAAGGAACUCGGCAAAAUGACUCCGUAACUUCGGGAGAAGGAGUGCCUUAUUUAUAAGGUUGCAAUAACAAGAUCCAAGCAACUGUUUAUCAAAAACACAGGUCUCCGCUAAGUCGUAAGACGAUGUAUGGGGGCUGACGCCUGCCCAGUGCCAGAAGGUUAAAGAAGUUGGUUAGCAUUCGCGAAGCUGAUAACUGAAGCCCUGGUGAACGGCGGCCGUAACUAUAACGGUCCUAAGGUAGCGAAAUUCCUUGUCGGGUAAGUUCCGACCCGCACGAAAGGCGUAAUGAUUUGGAUACUGUCUCGGAGAGGGGCUCGGUGAAAUAGACUUGUCUGUGAAGAUGCGGACUACCUGCACCAGGACAGAAAGACCCUAUGAAGCUUUACUGUAACUUGAGAUUGAAAUUGGACUUUACUUGCGCAGUAUAGGUGGGAGGCGUUGAUAAUAUUCUUGCGGGAUUAUUUGAGCCAUCAGUGAGAUACCACUCUUGUAAUGUUAGAUUUCUAACUUUGUAUCAUUAUCUGGUCAAAGGACAGUUUCAGGCGGGCAGUUUGACUGGGGCGGUCGCCUCCUAAACGGUAACGGAGGCGCACAAAGGUUUCCUCUGAACGGGUAGAAAUCGUAUCUAGAGUGUAAAGGCAUAAGGAAGCUUGACUGUGAGACCUACAAGUCGAGCAGGGACGAAAGUCGGUCUUAGUGAUCUGACGGUGCUGAGUGGAAAGGCCGUCACUCAACGGAUAAAAGUUACUCUAGGAUAACAGGCUGAUCUCCCCCAAGAGUUCACAUCGACGGGGAGGUUUGGCACCUCGAUGUCGGCUCAUCGCAUCCUGGGGCGGUAGUACGUCCCAAGGGUUGGGCUGUUCGCCCAUGAAAGCGGUACGCGAGCUGGGUUCAGAACGUCGUGAGACAGUUCGGUCCAUAUCCGGUGUAGGCGUUAGAAUAUUGAGAGGAGCCUUCUUUAGUACGAGAGGACCGAGAAGGACAUACCUCUGGUGUACCAGUCAUCGUGCCAACGGUAAACGCUGGGUAGCUAUGUAUGGAGUGGAUAACCGCUGAAAGCAUCUAAGUGGGAAGCCCACCUCAAGAUAAGUAUUCUCA
rnacentral:rRNA from 1 species